rnacentral:rRNA from 1 species
UACGGGGGGGGCAAGCGUUGUUCGGAAUUACUGGGCGUAAAGGGUUCGUAGGUGGCUUGCUAAGUCAGACGUGAAAUCCCUCAGCUUAACUGGGGAACUGCGUCUGAUACUGGCGAGCUUGAGUGCAGGAGAGGAACGCGGAAUUCCAGGUGUAGCGGUGAAAUGCGUAGAUAUCUGGAGGAACACCGGUGGCGAAGGCGGCGUUCUGGACGGAUACUGACGCUGAGACGCGAAAGCGUGGGGAGCAAACAGG